GUCCAGGUCGAUUAGUGGUGAAAUCAUCUCAUUAACAUGUCAAAACUGCAAUGUAGCUAUGAGAAGCGGGAGGUUCGAAUCCUCACCAGGACA
rnacentral:tRNA from 1 species